CCUACGGGAGGCAGCAGUGAGGAAUAUUGGUCAAUGGGCGCGAGCCUGAACCAGCCAAGUCGCGUGAGGGAAGACGGUCCUAUGGAUUGUCAACCUCUUUUGUCGGGGAGCAAAAGACGCCACGCGUGGCGUUCCGCGAGUACCCGAAGAAAAAGCAUCGGCUAACUCCGUGCCAGCAGCCGCGGUAAUACGGAGGAUGCGAGCGUUAUCCGGAUUUAUUGGGUUUAAAGGGUGCGCAGGCGGAAGAUCAAGUCAGCGGUAAAAUUGAGAGGCUCAACCUCUUCGAGCCGUUGAAAAUGGUUUUCUUGAGUGAGCGAGAAGUAUGCGGAAUGCGUGGUGUAGCGGUGAAAUGCAUAGAUAUCACGCAGAACUCCGAUUGCGAAGGCAGCAUACCGGCGCUCAACUGACGCUCAUGCACGAAAGUGUGGGUAUCGAACAGGAUUAGAUACCCGGGUAGUC
rnacentral:rRNA from 1 species